GUUUCUUGAUUUUAGCUCUGCAUUCAACACCAUUGUGCCAGAGCUACCACGCUCCAAACUUUCUGAGUUGACUGUGCCUGAACUCCCCUGUCGGUGGAUCACCAGCUUUCUGACAGACAGGAAGCAGCAUGUGAGACGGGAAAGCAUAUCUUGGACCUGCAAACGUUCAUCACUGCAAGAUGUGUACUCUCCCCUCUCCUCUACACUUGCCACACCAAUGACUGCACCUCCACAGACACCUCAGUCAAGCUUCUCAACUUUGCGGACGACACAACCCUGAUUGGCCUGAUCCAGGAUGGGGAUCUCCGUAUUCUUUUCAGUUUCACAACUUUCGUAUAACAUGGUACCCAGAACUGAACACAAUAUUCUAAAUGCGGUCUCACCAAUGUCUUAUACAACUGCAACAUGACCUCCCAACUUCUAUACUCAAUACUCUGACUGUUGAAGGCCAAAGUGCUAAAAUACUUUUUGACCACCAGAUAUACCUGCGACAUGACCUUCAAGGAACCAUACAACCAUCAACCAUUCCUCUGCCCACCUGGCUAAUUGAUCCAGAUCCUACCACAAUCUUUCACAACCAUCUUCACUAUAUGCGAAAUCACUCACUUCUGUAUCAUCAGCAAACUUGCUAAUCUUGCCCUGUUCUGUGAAGCUUCACAGAGUGCUGGAGUAACUUAGCGGGUCAGGCUGAGUACAGAGGUUGGGAAGAUGUUGCAGUUGCAUAAGUAGGUGGUUAGGCUGCAUUCAGAGUAUUGUCUUCAGUUCUGGGCACCAUGUUAUAGGAAUUAUGUCAUCAAACUGGAACGGGUACAGUGAAGAUUUACUAGGAUGUUAUCAGCACUAGGGGGCCAGAGUUAUAGGGAGAGGUUGAGUAGGCUGGGACUCUAUUUCAUGGAGCACAGGAGGAUGAGGGAUGAUCUAAUAAAGGUAUACAAAAUCAUGAUUUGAAUAGAUAUGGUUGAGUCUUUUGCCCUGAGUAGGUGAAUUGAGGAGCAGAGGACAUAGGUUUAAGGUGAAGGGCAAAAGAUUUAAUAGGAAUCUGAAGGGUAUGUUUUUCACACAAAGGGUGGUAGGUGUAUGGAAUAAGCUGCCAGAGGAGGUAGUUGAGGCGGGGACUAUCGCAACAUUUAAGAAACAGACAGGUACAUGGAUAGGACAAGUUCGGAGGGAUAUGGAUCAAACGUGGGCAGGUGGGACUAGUGCAGAUGGGACAUGCGCUAUGACUAUCAAUCAUUCCCUCUCGAACCCAUUCUCCUGCCUUCUCCCCAUUACCUCCGACACCCGUAUCAAUCAAGUAUUUAUCAAUCUCAUCCUGAAAAAUGUCCAUUGACUUGGCCUCCACAGCUGUCUGUGGCAAUGAAUUCCACAGUUCACGACCCUCUGACUAAAGAAAUUCCUGCUUAUCUCCUUCCUAAAGGAAUGUCUUUUAAUUCCGAGGCUGUGGCCACUGGUCCUAGACUCUCCCACUAGUGGAAAUAUCCUCUCCAAAUCCACUACAUCCAGGUUUUUACCAAGCUGGGACAGACGGCAACAGCUUCACACCGUGUCCCAAAGCUUGUGCUUGUCCUGAAUCACCCAAGGCAGCAGAGACGUUAUAGGAGAGGGCAAGCACCGUCACAAAGUAGCUCACGAUGUUUUGGGUAACAUUCAGGAAUGUCUAUGCGUGUCACAUCAUGAAUAUUACUGAAGAACGGUCUUGACCCGAAAUAUAAUCUAUACUUUUUCUCCAGAGAUGCUGCCUGACUCACUGAGUUACUCCAGCACUCUGUGAAACGUCGCCUAUUCAUAUUCUCCGCAGAUGCUGCCAGACCCACUGAGUUACUCCAGCACUUUGUGUCUAUUUUCCCUUCACCCAUCUGCACAAACCCAUUCUCCCCCUCCUUUCCUCUGAUCCUUUCCACCCAUAAACCUCUCUCUGCCUUUACAUUUCACUUCUCUUUCAAAUCUGCUCUACUUAUCUACAUUCAUUUUUCUUCUUAACUUUUUAGUCAUAGAAUGAUGCAGUGUGGAAACAGGCCCUUCAGGCCAACUUGCCCACACCGACCAACAUGUCCCAUCUACACGAGUCCCACUCACAAGCAUUUGGCCCAUAUCCAUCUAAAUCUGUCCUAUCCAUGUACGUGUCCAAAUGUCUCUUAAAUAUUAGGGUAGUCCCAGCGUUUACCUCCUCUGGCAGCUCGUUCCAUACACCCAGCACCCUUUGUGUGAAAAAGCUACCUUUCAGAUUCCUGUUAAUUUCUGAAAUAUUGGUCAUAAAUUUGGUGCAAAAAUGCUCCAAAAUAAGGCUCAGAAUGCAUCAGAGAGCAUCUAAAACCCAAGAGCUUCCAGGGCCCGCUUAAGGACCCUGACAUCGAGGGACUUCACGCUUCGCGCUCGUGAUGUACGCAGCGCGCACACUAUUUCACAUUAAAUUUUUUGUAAUCCUGUCGCGCCACUCCCCUUUUUGGAAAGCUUCAUACAGGCCUGAAGUCUAACAUGGGCAGGACCUACACAGUGAAUGGUAAAGCUCUGGGGAAUGUUGUAGAGCAGAGGGAUCUAGGAGUGCAGAUGCAUGGUUCCUUGAAGGUGGAGUCACAGGUAGAUAGGGCGGUCAAAGAGGCUUUUGGCACUUAGGCCUUCAUCAGUCAGAGUAAUUAGUAUAGAAGUUGGGAGGUCAUGUUGCAGGUGUAUAAGGCGUUGGUGCAUCCGCAUUUAGAGUAUUGUAUUCAGUAUUGGAGAUAGGGUGAGAUAGGGAUACUGGAAGCACAGUUAUGAGUGGGAUUGUUGGAUAUAAUGAGUCUAUUUUUGCACAAAUACCUGGUACAUUUUUUCUGACAUCCAUGGAAUCAGCAGCCAGAGAGUUAAUUCCACCAAGCCAAUCACAGGGAUAGAGCGAGGCAGCAUUUCCAUAUAACCUGUUCUUUAAUUGACAUUGUACCAUCCCACAUGAAAGGCACUGGGCCAAUAAACAUCUUUAUAAAUGUGUGAAAUUUGCUUAACUUGGAGCAGAGUGAAAUUGUACUCGAAGUUCUGGCAGGUUUGUCCUAAUUAGCCACCUUAUUUUGCAGCAUUAAUAUCCCAAAUAACCUCACAAACAGCACACAUGCAAAACUCCUCUCCUCACAAAGUUUCAUCCUCAAUUGUCCGAGUAGUGAAAUAGAGAACAGUCUGGUUCUACAAGCACAUGUCUCUGGAAACCGUGUUCUGUAAAGGACCAGCUCUCCAACUGCCUUCUUUGGCUACACUAUGAUGUAUCCGUUGAACAUACAAGUGUAACUUGACUGCUUUGUUCAAGAAGUUUAAAGUCACAGAAACUCAUUGUUUCCUUGUCAAUGCCGCUCCUCAGAGAUUGCCUCUCACACUUAUAUCAGAGACCUCACAUAAAUGGUUUCUUGAAAUUCACAACAUUUUAGAAACCUUUCCCUUAGUCCCCGCAGAAUGUUGAAUGCAGAGGGGCAUUAGUUUGCAUUAGAAGUGCAGGCAUUUGUAGUCAAAUAGUUCAAGUUCAAGUGAGUUUAUUGUCAUGUGUCCCUGAUAAUACAAUGAAAUUCUUGCUUUGCUUCAGCACACAGAACAUAGUAGGCAUUUACUACAAAACAGAUCGGUGUGUCCAUAUACCAUCAUAUAAAUAUAUACACAUGAAUAAAUAAACUGAUGAAGUGAUGAAGUGCAAAUAACAGAUAAUGGAUUAUUAAUAAUCAGAGUUUUGUCCGAGCCAGGUUUAAUGGCCCAAUGGCUGUGGAGAAGUAGCUAUUCCUGAACCUGGUUGUUGCAGUCUUCAGGCUCCUGUACCUUCUACCUGAAGGUAGCAGGGAGAUUAGUGUGUGGCCAGGAUGGUGUGGGUCUUUGAUGAUACUGCCAGCCUUUUUGAGGCAGCAACUGAAUUAAAUCCCCUCGAUGGAAGGAUGGUCAAAGCCGAUGAUGGACUGGGCAGUGUUUACUACUUUUUGUACUUUUCCUCUCCAGGGCGCUCAAGUUGCCGAACCAAGCCACGAUGCAACCGGUCAGCAUGCUCUCUACUGUGCACCUGUGGAAGUUAGAGAGAAUCCUCCUUGACAAACCAACUCUCCGUAAUCUUCUCAGGAAGUAGAGGCGCUGAUGAGCUUUCUUGAUAAUUGCAUUAGUGUUCUUGGACCAGGAAAGAUCUUCAGAGAUGUGCACGACCAGGAAUUUGAAGCUCUAGACCCUUUCAACCAUCGACCCGUUGAUAUAAACGGGCUGUGGGUCCCCAUCCUACUCUGGUGUUGAGGCCCAGGUUAUUAUGCUGGCACCAUAUGGACAGUUGCUCGAUCUCUCUUCUAUACUCUGACUCAUCCGCAUCAUUGAUACAUCCCACAACAGUGGUGUCGUCAGCGAACUUGAUGAUAGAGUUUGCACUGAGACUGGCUACGCAGUCAUGUGUACAGAGUGAGUACAGCAGGGGGCUGAGUACGCAGCUUUGAGGUGCUCCCAUGCUGAUUGUUAUCAAGGCUGUCACAUUUCCACCAAUACGAACAGACUGUGGUCUGUGAAAUGGUAGCAUCGUGCCAAUGGUAGCAAGAGGAAAUGGCUGAACAUAGACACAAAAUGCUGAGGCAACUUUCAAAACACCUCAGCCCCACCACUCCUCAGAGCCCCAUACACAUUCACACACAAAAUUGUUGUGUGUGGACAUGCACUGGAGGCACUGUGCCACAUAAUGAACACUAAUAUAAUAAUUUGCUGACCUGCCAUCCCAUCAAUCUGAACAUGCGUACAUGUAUAUUGCUCCAGUGAUAUAUUCAUUUUGUCUUACACAAUAUUAAAAAUGAAAAGAAGUAAAAUACUCCCUUACACAUUUUAUCUUCUAUUAUUAGGAGGCAGCAGUGUAUCCCGGGUUAUCUUGCCGAUUGCAAUCAUCUGCAACAUUGCAACAAUAAAUCGAGCUAUAGCAAGGUUUCGAAGAAAGUAAGUGAAUUCCCUCAAGAAGCAGUUCCUGAUGGCGAACCACAUGAGCCGGCCCCAAAGAGACUGAUUCGGUCCAUGACAAGUGAUGGUCAACAAACAGCUACCGUCGAGCACCCUGACCGCAGGCAUGGCCUACCAGUGCAUUGCAUCAUCUGCAAAGUCUCUUCUCAAAGUACGUCAAAGAACAAGCCACAGGUAAACGAAAAGUAGAGAAAUUAGUACGAUGUUCAUUGGGUCAUUGGGGGGAAAAAAAAAGGAUAACCGGUAAUGUCCGCCGAGCUUCAUAGAAACAUAGAAACAUAGAAAUUAGGUGCAGGAGUAGGCCAUUCCGUCCUUCGAGCCUGCACCGCCAUUCAAUAUGAUCAUGGCUGAUCAUCCAACUCAGUAUCCCGUACCUGCCUUCUCUCCAUACCCCCUGAUCCCCUUAGCCACAAGGGCCACAUCUAACUCCCUCUUAAAUAUAGCCAAUGAACUGGCCUCAACUACCCUCUGUGGCAGAGAGUUCCAGAGAUUCACCACUCUCUGCGUGAAAAAAGUUCUUCUCAUCUCGGUUUUAAAGGAUUUCCCCUUUAUCCUUAAGCUGUGACCCCUUGUCCUGGACUUCCCUAACAUCAGGAACAAUCUUCCUGCAUCUAGCCUGUCCAACCCCUUAAGAAUGUUGUAAGUUUCUAUAAGAUCCCCUCUCAAUCUUCUAAAUUCUAGAGAGUAUAAACCAAGUCUAUCCAGUCUUUCUUCAUAAGACAGUCCUGACAUCCCAGGAAUCAGUCUGGUGAACCGUCUCUGCACUCCCUCUAUGGCAAUAAUGUCCUUCCUCAGAUUUGGAGACCAAAACUGUACACAAUACUCCAGGUGUGGUCUCACCAAGACCCUGUACAACUGCAGUAGAACCUCUCUGCUCCUAUACUCAAAUCCUUUUGCAAUGAAAGCUAACAUACCAUUCGCUUUCUUUACUGCCGGCUGCACCUGCAUGCCUACCUUCAAUGACUGGUGUACCAUGACACCCAGGUCUCGUUGCAUCUCCCCCUUUCCCAAUCGGCCACCAUUUAGAUAAUAGUCUGCUUUCCUGUAUUUGCCACCGAAAUGGAUAACCUCACAUUUAUCCACAUUAUACUGCAUCUGCCAAACAUUUGCCCACUCACCCAGCCUAUCCAAGUCACCCUGCAGUCUCCUAGCAUCCUCCUCACAGCUAACACUGCCCCCCAGCUUAGUGUCAUCCGCAAACUUGGAGAUAUUGCCUUCAAUUCCCUCAUCCAGAUCAUUAAUAUAUAUUGUUAAUAGCUGGGGUCCCAGUACUGAGCCUUGGGGUACCCCACUAGUCACUGCCUGCCAUUGUGAAAAGGACCC